GGCGUGGGUGGGAAGGGGGGACACUUGCGGGGUGGACGCACGGAUUUCCCCAGCUGGUGAACUUGUGGGCGAUGCCAUACCACACAGGUGAGUGCGAGUAAAAUGAAAACAAGUGAAUUGAAAUAAGGGAGGUGAUUGUAUCAACGACAAUAUCCGGGUGGAGAUACUGAGUAUCGAUUUGGAAAAUGUGACCAUCAGGGAGAACCGGGCCAAGUGCACAAGGGAGUUUCUCAGCGGCAUUUCUCACAACCGCAGGCGAAUCUGCAGUGGCCUCAGUAAAGGCUUCAAUCACAAAAAGCCCGCUGCUGGUUCCUCCGUAAGUUAAACACAGGAUUACCGUAUGGCCCAGGAAGCCCACCCCUGGGUGUAUCCCCAAGACGAUUUCCAACACGUGCUCAGAACCAAAACUGUGUUCGAGGUUCCAUGCUGUCCGUAGGAUUGAUUAGGAUUGACAUCGGCCGUCAUCUCCUGCCCGAGGUGGUUGAAAAUGGUUUUCAGCUCCCAAUUAAUACAUGUAAAUAGAACUUGUCCUGGGACCCGGCCCCUGUGUCCUUCACCAUGGGACCUCGUUCUGCCUCCUCGUCUCGUGGGGCACCUGCGCGGCUCAGUCGUUUAAACAUCUGACUUCGGCUCAGGUCAUGAUCUCACAGUUUGUGGGUUCGGGCCCCGCGUCGGGCUCUGUGCUGACAGCUUGGAGCUCCGAGCCUGGAGCCUGCUUGGGAUUCUGUGUCUCCCUCUGUCUGCCCCUCCCCGUGCGCUCGCUCUCUCUCAAAAAUAAACAUUUAAGAAACAGCCAA